UACGUAGGAGGCAAGCGUUGUUCGGAAUUAUUGGGCGUAAAGAGCUCGUAGGCGGUGUGUCGCGUCGGUCGUGAAAACUUGGGGCUUAACCCUGAGCUUGCGGUCGAUACGGGCAUCACUGGAGUUCGGCAGGGGAGACUGGAAUUCCUGGUGUAGCGGUGAAAUGCGCAGAUAUCAGGAGGAACACCGGUGGCGAAGGCGGGUCUCUGGGCCGAUACUGACGCUGAGGAGCGAAAGCGUGGGGAGCGAACAGG
rnacentral:rRNA from 1 species